UACGUAGGGUGCAAGCGUUGUCCGGAAUUAUUGGGCGUAAAGAGCUCGUAGGCGGUCUGUCGCGUCGGCUGUGAAAUCCCGGAGCUCAACUCCGGGUCUGCAGUCGAUACGGGCAAACUGGAGUACUGCAGGGGAGACUGGAAUUCCUGGUGUAGCGGUGGAAUGCGCAGAUAUCAGGAGGAACACCGGUGGCGAAGGCGGGUCUCUGGGCCGAAACUGACGCUGAGGAGCGAAAGCGUGGGGAGCGAACAGG
rnacentral:rRNA from 1 species